rnacentral:pre_miRNA from 1 species
UACCCUGUAGGUACGACCUUGUGUGCCUAAUACAGUUUACGAGGUUGUGACUACAGUGUAUG